ACCUGCGGAAGGAUCAUUGUCGUGACCUUAACCAAAAGAGACUGUGAAUGUGUCAUCCAUGUUGCCUGGUGACGGUUUGUGCACCGUCUCUUGGCCUGGACCCUUGUCCUUCUUACGUAGAAGAGGGGUCCCAACAGAACCAACGGCGCCGGAUGGCGUCAAGGAAUACUAAUGUUGCUAAAGCUUGGGGUUACGGCCGGCCUGCUGGACGAGCCCUACGCUGUGAUGCUAUUUGAAUCCAUAAGACUCUCGGCAACGGAUAUCUUGGCUCUUGCAUCGAUGAAGAACGUAGCAAAAUGCGAUACCUGGUGUGAAUUGCAGAAUCCCGUGAACCAUCGAGUUUUUGAACGCAAGUUGCGCCCGAGGCCUCUUGGUUGAGGGCACGUCUGCCUGGGCGUCACACCAAAAGACACUCACCAACCGUUUUGGUAACGGACGUGGCGAUUGGCCUUCUAUGUCGUUUGAUAGGUGUGGUAGGCUAAAGUAAAAGGGUGCUGGCUAUGGUGCCRGUCACAGCACUUGGUGACAACAUAGGUUGUUCUCGGAGUUGUGACUUGCAUUGCUUCCGGCGGAUUGGCCCUUAAGACCCAUGGAUGGAGCACGAAUUGCUCGCACCACGACCCCAGGUCAGUCGGGAUUACCCGCUGAAUUUAAGCAUAUCAAUAAG
rnacentral:rRNA from 1 species